ACUAAGUUCAAUUUUCGUAUCGUUUAUAUGCCUUACGGAAAACCGACCUUUUCCGGAAUCGACUUUUGUUUUAUCACCGGAAAUGAUUUUGAAAUUUGAAUUUCGAAACGAAGACAGGAUAUCAACAAAGAGAGCCAAGAAAAUUGUUUGUUACGCGAUAUAUACUCACUUGGAGCUAAAAGAAAAGCCACAAAGGACAAGUUCAAUAUGCAGGUUUACAAUUUGGAAGUGGCACAGGUUCUUUGAAAUGUCUACAACCUUUCAGGAGAAUUUUUUUUUGAAAAGCAUGGCACAGCAAGAAAAAGAUAUAAGACACUACAAGACAUUCCAAGUGAUUUUGAAUAAGACAAUUGAUUGACAUUUUCAAUGUAUUCUUAAAUAAAUCAAAUAGUUGAUGUAAAAUGGUGUUUUGUUCUCAUCUGUUCAGCCAAUUAUCAAUGAUUAUUGACUUAAAAU